GGAAGAGGCAAGAGUGGUUCGUCAUUUGUUCGCGCCGUGAUGUGUUCAGCGUGAAUAGCAAUUGAUAGUGCAACCCAAGUAGCUUGGCGAUUCUUGUGUGCGCGCCGAAGAAGAUUUUAAGGUUCGUGGCAGCCGUCGAACGUCCAAAGCAUCACAUCUCCUCGUUGGUAACCACUCUUGACCCCACAGUUCGUCUCAAGGUUGGUCCCGGUGGUACACGUGGCCGGAAGAAGGCAACAUCCGUCAAAUCGCGCCUUGGCAGGACCAUUCGACUACCGAAACGCAGUACCAGCACACCCAGUACAUUUUCCGGUGACGACCGGGAGAUUUGGCGGCACUACCCAGCCAGCAGUCCACGAAUCGGCGGUGAAGACUAUCGUCGUACAUUAGGCGCGAUCAGGAGUGAUCGCACGUAGUAGCAGCAGCAGUAGAAGGAAUCGCCGUCUCCCGCCCAACAUCAACACGUAAACCCUAGGUCGUGAGUAAAAUGAAAUUUAUGUUUGUGAUGUCCAUGCGCAUGGGGUCACCAUAGACGGCCGUACCCUACCGUCAAAUUCUGCCAUGCGUGGCUCGAUCAUAUAGAUUGCCGUUCAAUUAUCACAGCAUCGAACAAGCACACCCCGAGAGCACGCACAAUAGAUAGUAGAGCGUCGCUCUAGAGAUAGGAGAGGGAACACGAGCAAAUGGGAAGGGAAAACUGCCUAGCUAGGUCGAAAUGAAUCUCAGAAUGCGGAAAGUGAAUAAUUGUAAAUAAAUGUAUUGAUGUAGCGAAAAUGUGCUGUUUGCGAUAUAGCAGAAAAUGUAUCCCGUAGGAUAAAUGUACUGAUUGUCGUCUUGGUGAAGUUUUUCAGUUCUAGUCAAAUCGU